GAAGAGGUUGCCGAGCCUCGGGGGAGAGGUGGGGUCCCAGGGGCCAACCCUUGGGUGUGUUGAUGGCGGCAGGCUAACCCAGCCAACGGGGUGCCACUGCCGGGCAAGGUGAGGAGCAAGAAGAUUUCCAGGGCUGGGAGGUAGAGGGCCAGGACCCCAAGGAGAGGGCUUACUGCGAGGAGCAGCCCAGGAUGGAUAAGGAGUUGAGGCCCCAGGGAUGCUGAGCCUGCACACUCUGUAGUGACUGGCUACCAGACUCUGAAAAACCUAAGUCCUUUAGGGAAGACCACAAAAGCAUCCAACCACAGUCUGCGCUGCAGCCCGGCAGAACUAAGUCUUGGGCGCCGCGACGCCUUUCCUACGGAAUAGGUCCUGGAAGGAAGACCAUUUAAGUCUUUCCCCCCAGGACUGGCGAGGAGAGCACGCCUUCCCUUCCGAAGGUGCGUUACCAGAUUGCUGCCGUUUUUGUGCUGGGUCAUCAGAGCAGAUUCCCCUCCAGGUUACAGAUUAAACUUAACUCUACCCGUGCUGAAAAUGGCCGGAGCACGCCGCCUCGCCUCCCCUCCCCAAGGCUGCCGGAGCCGCCGGCCCCUGCCUCCUUUUCGACGACUGAUCGUCCAAGGACUGGCGCCGGAUCCAACACCUUUCCCCAGCUCUGCGCGUACCGCGCUCUUUGGAAACGAAUUGGUCCCUGUCUGCUUCCAAGGGUCCCUGGAACCUUCUGCAGCUGUGCCUCUCCAGAGCUCCGCCUCAUUAGUGCCACGUUCCUGGUUUGAAAACCAUAGUACUUCAACCUCUUCUAGAUGGGAGUUAACCUUUGCCCUCUGAAAGAAAGGUUUGAUAAGCAAAGAGAGUUUGGUGAGCAAGAUCCUUGAGGUAAGAGCUGAUCUCUGACGUCCGCUGGGAACUGGCUGCUCUGCAGGUUUCUGUAUCACAUUUUCUGCACAUGUCCAUUAGAAUUGGAGAUGGGGCGUAUCUAGUGUUGAAUAAAGGCCCGGCAGGCCCUCCCAGAUGCACCCUGUCAGACAGAGCCUACUGUGGAUUCUUUAGAAAUGGCUUGACUCAUUCUUGGUGGCGACCACACCACCCACAGGCACCUAAAAUGAAAGGAUUUUUGUUAGCUGGUUACCACCAAACCACCUCAGGCAAUACGUGGGAGACUCCAAACCAGCUGCUGUUAAAAAAAAAAAAAAGGCAGCAGAGCAGUCAUAGAACAGACCCUUCUUACUGCUGCAUACAAGAUGAUCCCAUGGAAUGCAGGCAGCCACAGCUUUGUCCACAUGUGCUCUGUGUAUCUGGGGCUGCUAGGCUGGUUAGAUUUGUGGUCUUCUUCCUCCUGUGGAGGACCCUAGAGAGAGCCAGCCUGAGCCCUCACCGUUGUUCCUUCCCCGGCAGCACUUACAGAAUGAUCCUCUAAGACCUCCCCUCCAGCCCUAGCUGGGUUCCUAAUUUUCCAGCUAUUUAAUAUCUUCUUUAUGUCUCAGUGAAUGUUCCCAGGCAGAGUAGCCAGACAGACUCAUACUGACAGUUCUCAACAGCCAGUCCCAUCCUCCUAAAGAUCUCCAGAAUCAGCCACAUGGACCUGAUGCUAGAGGCCUGUCAGCACUGGGGGACCCGGGAGAAGCAGCUCAGGUCUUCAGCAGAAGCAGGGAGGUUCUCCCAGUGGUUUUCCUUGACUGUGAGGAACUAGCCUGCUGCUUUGCUCAGGAGUGAGCUGCCGGCUCCCCUUUGAUGUGCUGCGUCUGUUCAGAACUAGGCAGGGGUGCUUCACCGUGGCAGCACUUGAGUUAGGCAGUGGUUCAUGGACUCUUCUCCCAGGGCCCCACACAAAACACUGUUAGCACAGACCUGCCACUCAGAUCAAGGUGGCCAGCAGAGCCAUCAGAGAAUAGCCUUCAGAAGAUGAAUGGCAAGGCCAGCCGGCAGCACGUGAGGCCAGGGCAGAGACGCAGUGAACCGUUCCAUGGCGCCCCGAGCCUGCUGCCAAGGCCUCCUUGGAGCUGAGAUGGAGGCGGGGUGGCUGAGAGGCAAGCUGGAUGUGCAUGUUUGGGAAGAGGGCUCCGUAGAAAGUGCUGUAGGGGCCUUGGCUGGGGACCACGUGAGCCCUUGUGCGGAGAGGGCCUGUGUCUGUGGAUCUGGGGUCCACCACAGGCCACUGAGAUGGGACAGGGCUGGGAGGAUUGAGGAGGGAAGAUCCUGAGUGAAAUUGUGAAAUCAGGCCCAGCCUCAUGUGGGAGGUGAGGAGAAAGGACCCUUCCAGAGGGCCCCCCCUCAAUCCUGUUGUGCCUAAUUCAGAGGGUUGGGUGGAGGCUCUCCUGAAGGGCUCUGAAGAGCGCUGCACCCGCAGCUGUGUGCCAGGAGUGGAGACAGGACAGUCGAUACAAGAGGGGCCCCUGUCAUGUCAGCUGCUGAGUCCCCUGGGGCGGCCGGGCACUGGGGAAUGGUGAACUCGCCGUGCCGCGCCUCUGCCACAGUCUCCCGUGGGUCCCCACUGCCGGGAGUUUUACCUACCUCCCACCCUCAGCCACGAGCACCUGCAGGAUGCGGUGCCAUCCUCGCCGGUGCCCGCUCCCCUUCCGGAGGCUCUCUCCACCCUCACUGACGCCUCCUCGGGAAAGCCCCCGCUCCUUCCCCGACCUCACAGCAUGCCAGGUCUGGGGCUUCCGCUGGGGGGCUUACCUGUUUUCCACCCCUGCUAGACUGGGAGCUCCAGGGCAAGGCCGUAGCUGCCUUGCGGAUUGUUACGUUGUCCAGCUUGUCUCCACACGUGAUACCCAGCAGGUGCCUAAUAAACUUGUGUAGAAAGAGUGGUGGAUGUUUGCUCUUGUAUUUACUCUUCAUAGAGCCCAGCUCUGCUUGCUAGAGUCCUCGAAGCAAGUGCGCAGUGUCUGACGGUCUUGGGUUGCUUCUGACUCAUGGUGGCUGCUUGGGGGUCAUGCUGGAAACAUGGCACCCUCAACUCCUGCGUGGAACCAGUUGCCCCCACUGUGAUUCCUCUUGCUGCGGCUGGCCCUGCCUUCAUGGCAUUAGCGCAGCGGGGAGUUGCGGGCUCACUGUCUUAACACCUGUCUCCCCCACCAGACUAAACCCCAAAGGGCAGAACUCUCUCAUACACUUAGGACGGAGCAGGUCUCAGGUUAUUGCUGGACGGACCAAUGGAUGAGUGGAUGGACAGAGCAAAAAGAUGAAAAGACAGGAAGGCAACUGGGGUGUGACAGGCAGGGUGGCCUGACGCUCCCUGUGUGGACAAGACUUGGUGGGAGGUGCCGGGCAUGGCUAGGAGGACUUGGGGUGCAAAGUGUCCCCACAUCUGUCCUGAGGGCAGAAGCAAGGGUGAGCCUCCCUCCUGCUAGAGCUGGCGGAGUCUCCAAAAUAGAGUCCGGACCUGCAGGAACAGUGGCCCUUCCCAGUGCAAGAACGUCACUCAGAGUUGAAAGUUCUGGGGUCUCAGGGACCCCUGAAGUCCAUUCUUGAGCCCUUCCCGUGGCUGUGGCCUCCCCUUAGGCAGGGGAAAGGGGGCCAGUGGGGAGCUUCCCCAGGGGCCUCUCUGCAGGAGGCCGCUGGGCACAUGGUGGCCCCGCGCUGGGCGCUGUCAGCAGAAGUGCCUGGAUCCAGACCCUGGUGGAGACAGCAGGCCAGGAAACCAGUGGCCCCUCUGCCCCCCACUGGGGCCCCAUGAGUUACACCAGCCAGGCCCCACAGCUGAGGUACCAGGCGGAAAAGGCCUUGUGUGAAUGGGGCAAGAGGCCAGGGGCGCUGGGGAAGGCCAGGAAGAGAGCAGAGAGGCCUUCACUCACACGCAAGCGCACGCCCCAGGGGCUCAGGCCUUGAGACAUAGCUUGAGGUGGGGGUGUGGGGGGCUCCCUGCUUGUUCCCGCUAAGGCUGGCACCCCAGCCCUCUCUUUUGGGUGUCCCCAUGCCUGGGCUGUGCCGUAGCACAGUUCAUGGGAGCCCUGCCCCCAGGCCCUGCAGCCCUCACUGCCCCCAGCCCUGCUGCAGGGUUGGCCUCCCUUCUGUCACCCCACCUGCCACUCGCCCCUCUGUCUCGGGAAAACCCACUGUGAUUCCUUUCCAAGGCUGACCUUCCUUCUGGUGGCUUCUGCCCCAUUCCAGCUCCCCUUUCCCCAUGGGAUCAUUAGACACCGAGCCCUCCCGAGGGCCCAGCCAUGUGGGUGGAACACGGCAGUCACAGAAGAGGGAAGAGCCCUUUCUGCAUGGAGCUUGCUUCUGGAGGGGAGAGACAGACCACCAACAGGAAGUGGGUGGGCUGUGUCGUGUGUGGAAAAGCGGCAUGCUGGGAAAUGAAGCGGGGCAGGGGAGCAGCAGCGGCUCUCCCAGGCUUCCCUCCUGCGGCAUCUGUGCACCCCAGGCCUUCACCCUAGCACUGCUGACCUUCAGGGCUGCUUCCAUCCCUGGUGGGGGCCGUCCUGGGGAUUAUAGAGUGUUCAGCAGCUCCCCGAGCUAGAUGCUAGGAGCCACCACCACCAACGCCAAAAAAAGAUAGAUGCAUUUGCCACCUGGCUGGUUGCUCUCUGUAAACGUGAGCUAAACUGCUGGCCCAGGAUCGUUGACAUAGAGAAAAUCUGUGACUUCCCGGGAGUCCUGGUGAUGUGUGAUGUGUCGCUUAAUACAGAGUCUGGUGGAUAGAGAAAGACUUGUCUCCAUAGGUGUGCAGAGAGGGUUAGUAUAUGCCCUUUUAUUGCCUGGUUCUUUCCAGGGGCUCCCAGAGGACCUUGAAGCAGUGAGGCCACCCAGGCCUUAGUUGGUGGCGCCAUUCUCCCAUAAAAGGAACCAGGCUUUUGGUGAAAAUCGCUUAUUCUGGCUGAGCAUGGUGGCUCGUGCCUGUAAUCCUAGCACUUUGGGAAGCUGAGAUGGGCAGAUCACUUGAAGCCAGGAGUUCAAGACCAGCCUGGCCAACAUGGUGAAACCCCCAUCUCUACUAAAAAUACAAAAGUUAGCUGGCCGUGGUGGUGCAUGCCUGUAGUCCCAGCUACUCGGGAGGCUGAGGCACAAGAAUUGCUUGAACCCAGGAAGUGGAGGUUGCAGUGAGCUGGGAUUGCACCACUGCACUCCAGCCUGGGUGACAGAGACCCUGUUUCAAAAAAAAAAAAAAGACUUAUUCUUUGGUUGGAGCAAAGACUGCGAGGUGAGCCUGGAGCAUCAUGUGGUGUCAGGAAGGAAGUACCCCAGCAAUGGCGGCAGGUUUCAGGGACACAGGAGCUGACAGAAGGAGCUCCCAAGGGUCACAGCUGGGACAUGGGACUAGCAAAGCAGAACUGGACUGUGACCCAAUGCAUAGAAUAUCCACAGGUCCAGACUGAUAUAAAUCAUUCAAUAAGUAGAUGGAAGAGACAAAUCUCUUGCACAGAAUAAUUCCAAAUAAUUCCGGUAGAUACUUCCCCUCAAGGAGAUAGAACGUAGCUCCCCACCCCUGAAGUAUGCACAGUGCUUAGUGACUUGCUUCCAAAGAGUACACAUUGAAGGUGGGAAACGGUCUUCACUGAGGAGAAACCUGGGCAGCUGUGUCUUAGCCAGCUGGAGGCCCGUGUCAUCAGGGAUCCUCCUGUGCCUAAUACAUACCCUGGAUACCACAUGGUCUUCCUUCCCCAACUGCAUCAUCCCAAUGUAACCAUGAACCAAACAUCAGAUCACCCGAAUUGUGGGACAAUCUACAAAAUACCUGACUGGCACUCCUCAAAAUGGUCAAGGUUAUCAAAAUCAAGGAAAAGCUGAGAGACUCAGCCAAGCCUGGAGGAGCCUCAGGAGAUGUGAUGAUGAAAUGUCACGUAGGCUUCUGGAUGGAGUCCUGGAGCACAGAGAGGGCAUUAGGGAGAAGCCAGUGAUGUCUGCACACUGCGCGGGCUUCAGGCAAUACUGUUCAUUCGUGGUGACAAAUCACAUGGCAGUAUAAGUGGUAGAACCUGGGUGUUGGAGACACAGAAGCUCGGCACUAGCUUUUCAACUUUUCUGUAAAUCUAAAAGUUUAAAAUAAAAAGUUUAUUUAAAGUGUGUGUGUGUGUGUGUGAGAUAUAAACAGUUGUGACCCAGCACUCAUGAGCUAGGAGUGGUGCAGGCAGACUCUAAACAGAGAAACGGAGGCAUCACGCCUUCUGGGAGAGAUUGGUGCUACAGAAAAAAACAGGGCUGUGAAAUUGCAGCCUGCCCCCAACACCCUCACACCUGAUGCUCUGAUCUCCCACAUGUGAGCCAGGGGAAGAGGAGAGCAGCAGGCAAGGUCAGAGAAGGUGAGUCCCCUGUGGGCCAUGGGAGGGACACAGAGAUAAUGCCCCUCCACCUACAUGGUGGGGACAUUCUGGGAUGAAGGGGUAUGGGGGAACAUAGCUGCAUGUGGAGUGUGUGCACACGUGUGCAGCAUUUGUGUGCACAUGUAUUUGUGUGUGUGAGUGCACAUAACAGUAUGUGUGUACACUUGUAGCAUCUGAACUUGUGCAGUGUGUGUGUGUGUGUGUGUGUGUGCGCGCGCGCAUGUGGGAGUGACAUGACCACGCCCGUAAUGGGUGAGCAGAAGCUCCUUUUCCCGGCAGCUGUGGCAGCUCAGGUGAGAGAGGAUUACGGGGGGGCGACAUGAGGAAGGUGGGGAAGGUGGGUGGGCAGCGCAGGCAGUGAAGGAAGGGUCAGUGUCCAGGAGGCACCUGGGGCUUUGGCUGGAGCCACAGAUGUGCAGUGGGUGAGAUGGAGGGGGUGGGUGCUGGGUUUGAGUGGGGGUGCAGGCAGGGCAUUGUGGGGUGCCCUGGAAGCUGCUGCAUGCUCCUGUUUACAGUGUGGGACACGCUGCUAGGGAAGACCCAAGCUGCCUCCAAAACGAAGGCCAUGGUCAAGAGACUCGCUGGCCAGCUGGGGCCGCCUAGCAGAGAUGUCCUGGGGCCUGAGGCUCUGUCGGUCCCGCCUUCCUGGCUGUUGGCAGUGGUUUCCACAAGUCUAAGAAACCCAGAGCGCACUCCUGGCAGAAGGAGAGCCGGGGAGUCCUGCCUGCCCACAAACAUCUUCCCACACUCCCCUGAAAUUCUUCACUUUCUCAAAAGGCAAGACGGUCUUGUAAUUAGAGGUGAAUCUGGGCUGAUGCCACCCUCUCAAAAAGAAAAUGUGCUCGUGCACCAGGCAUUUGCACUUGCCUUUGAAUGCAGCCAUCUGUGGCCUGCUGUUUCACACCAAAUUGGGAGGACUGGCCUGCAGUCCAGGCCGGGUGGAAGGACACACCUGGCCUUGCUGCAAUGUCAAGUGAAAGGCAGGGAUGAGGGUGGGAAUGAGGGUGCCCCCUCCUCAGCUUUCUGAAGGAACAGCUUCCUUCUGGACAGUCCUAGAAAGGCCAGGGGAAGAGGAAGAAAAGAGGGGUCCCUAGCACCAUCACCAGCUCCCUGUGGCAAGCCAUCAUCAUCCAUGCCUCCAAGCAGACAGUCCACAAGACAAAUGCACACCUACUGCAUGCCAGACCCUUAUCUGGGCCUGGAGGAGGGCAAGAUGGACAUGAGCCUGUCCUCAUGGAGCUUAAAGCCCAUGCCUGAGACAGACCCUGGCCAAGUGAAUAGCAGGAGCUUAGCAGGAAGGUACAGGGAGGGCUUCCUGGAGGACGUGGCCAGACAGCCAAGCAAAAGGGAAAGGUGCCCACGUGAGGAUGACGACCGCUUGGGAAGACCUUGACCUCCUCUCGCCCUCCAGCCUGGAUUUUCCCCGGGGGUGCGAGCCAUUGUUUCACAUAGACAGUGACACACCCCAUUUUGCAUUUUGUAAAGUUCCUUCUAGAAUGCCAUUGGAGGCCAGAGUGGAAGUCAAGAGACAUGGAAAGUUGGUACUAUUGGAGUCUUCCUGGGACAAUGUCACAGUACCUGAACCAGGGAGGAGGUGACCGAGGGCAGACAGAAGAGGAACAGGGUCUAAGCAGCCUGGAAGGUGGCUGCCCGCAGCUGUGAGGAGCAGGGAGAGUGGUGGAGGAUGUGGGCUGGGCCGCCAUGUGGACAGGGAUGGGGAGGCUGGGGGGCAGAGGCUUGCUGAUGAGUUUGGUGUCUCCCCACUGGUCUUCCAGUGCCCAUUUGUAAAAUAAAGGAGGUGGAUGGACUAUUCGCCAAGUCCCCUCCUAGCUCAGGACCCCUCUGAGGUGGCGUAGGUGUAUCCUGCGGCCAUGGGGAGGGCUCAAACCCCAGCACCUCCAAACUUCAGGAACCACAACCUGUGGCGCAGUCUUGGCUCAGUUUGAUUAAACAUUCAGCUGUACUCGGCGGCAGCCCACAUCCAUAGCCGAUGCCCUUUCUGCAUGGAUGACUCACCAGAAUUAAUGUUCAUUUGAUUUUUACUAUAAAUUACGCCUCACAUAAUUUCUCCAUUAUGGACAGAGGAUGGCUUCUUGGGAAAGGCUAGAGCGGCUAUUUGGUCACUCAUGCUGGGGAAGUGCUGGGUCAUCGCUUCUCCCACGCACCGGCUGGCGGCAGAGGCGGCCACCCGGGCCAUGGGCAGGUGGCCUAAUGGAUGCAUCUCCCGAAUCCACUAAUGGGAGUGGCUCACCUUGGCCCCCAGAAGAGGAAGAGAGGAGUAGGCAGUGAGAGCUCCUGUUUUCCUGAACCACCUGAAUAUGGAAGAUUGCGAUGUGGAAGGCAAAAAAACAACAAAAAAAAUUCACACUUUUAAAGAUGGAAGGAUCUCCUUUCUUCCCUACCUCUUUCCUUCAAAUAUCAUGGCCUAUCCCCAGAGUCCAUACAGUCCUGGGCAAAAUGAGUCAGGUUCCAACCCCGGGGUGCUCUCAGGCUUGGGAGGAGACAGGUUGAUCAGGUCAUCUCUGAAGCCGGCACACUGCAAAGUGUGUGGGAAGAGCUGGGUCUUCCCAGAGGAAGUGGC
rnacentral:lncRNA from 1 species